CGACGGCAGCGCGGGAGCAAUCCUGGCGGCGAGUGGCGAACGGGUGAGUAAUACAUCGGAACGUGCCCAAUCGUGGGGGAUAACGCAGCGAAAGCUGUGCUAAUACCGCAUAAGAUCUACGGAUGAAAGCAGGGGAUCGCAAGACCUUGCGCGAAUGGAGCGGCCGAUGGCAGAUUAGGUAGUUGGUGAGGUAAAGGCUCACCAAGCCUUCGAUCUGUAGCUGGUCUGAGAGGACGACCAGCCACACUGGGACUGAGACACGGCCCAGACUCCUACGGGAGGCAGCAGUGGGGAAUUUUGGACAAUGGGCGAAAGCCUGAUCCAGCCAUGCCGCGUGCAGGAUGAAGGCCUUCGGGUUGUAAACUGCUUUUGUACGGAACGAAACGGCCUUUUCUAAUAAAGAGGGCUAAUGACGGUACCGUAAGAAUAAGCACCGGCUAACUACGUGCCAGCAGCCGCGGUAAUACGUAGGGUGCAAGCGUUAAUCGGAAUUACUGGGCGUAAAGCGUGCGCAGGCGGUAAUGUAAGACAGUUGUGAAAUCCCCGGGCUCAACCUGGGAACUGCAUCUGUGACUGCAUUGCUGGAGUACGGCAGAGGGGGAUGGAAUUCCGCGUGUAGCAGUGAAAUGCGUAGAUAUGCGGAGGAACACCGAUGGCGAAGGCAAUCCCCUGGGCCUGUACUGACGCUCAUG
rnacentral:rRNA from 1 species